rnacentral:rRNA from 1 species
AUUGAACGCUGGCGGCAGGCCUAACACAUGCAAGUCGAACGGUAACAGGAAGAAGCUUGCUUCUUUGCUGACGAGUGGCGGACGGGUGAGUAAUGUCUGGGAAACUGCCUGAUGGAGGGGGAUAACUACUGGAAACGGUAGCUAAUACCGCAUAACGUCGCAAGACCAAAGAGGGGGACCUUCGGGCCUCUUGCCAUCGGAUGUGCCCAGAUGGGAUUAGCUAGUAGGUGGGGUAACGGCUCACCUAGGCGACGAUCCCUAGCUGGUCUGAGAAGAUGACCAGCCACACUGGAACUGAGACACGGUCCAGACUCCUACGGGAGGCAGCAGUGGGGAAUAUUGCACAAUGGGCGCAAGCCUGAUGCAGCCAUGCCGCGUGUAUGAAGAAGGCCUUCGGGUUGUAAAGUACUUUCAGCGGGGAGGAAGGGAGUAAAGUUAAUACCUUUACUCAUUGACGUUACCCGCAGAAGAAGCACCGGCUAACUCCGUG